rnacentral:rRNA from 1 species
GCAAAUCCCUAAAAGCCAUCCCAGUUCGGAUUGCAGGCUGAAACCCGCCUGUAUGAAGUUGGAAUCGCUAGUAAUCGCGGAUCAGCAUGCCGCGGUGAAUACGUUCCCGGGCCUUGUACACACCGCCCGUCACACCAUGAGAGUCGGGAACACCCGAAGUCCGUAGUCUAACCGCAAGGGGGACGCGGCCGAAGGUGGGUUCGAUAAUUGGGGUGAAGUCGUAACAAGGUACC